GACGUAGGGGGCCAGCGUUGUUCGGAAUUACUGGGCGUAAAGGGCUCGUAGGUGGCCAACUAAGUCAUACGUGAAAUCCCUCAGCUUAACUGGGGAACUGCGUCUGAUACUGGAUGGCUUGGAUUCGGGAGAGGAAUGCGGAAUUCCAGGUGUAGCGGUGAAAUGCGUAGAUAUCUGGAGGAACACCGGUGGCGAAGGCGGCAUUCUGGACCGACAUUGACGCUGAGGAGCGAAAGCCAGGGGAGCAAACGGG
rnacentral:rRNA from 1 species